CGGACCCCGAGGCGGAGGGAGAGGGAGAGAGAGGGGAGAGCGAGAGGAGGAAGCGCGAGAGCCAACCACCGCCGCCGAGUCAAGAUUCAGCGAUCCCACAGCAAUCGCCCUAAUGACAACAGCCUCAUAAUAUCUCCCCUAAAUCCACAUUCCAGCGGCUCCGGAGCCUGCCGACCCCAAAGGGAGUCUCAACAGGUGGCCGGGUUUGAUUUUCCCGUUUUCCCAGUCAGAGUCCACUUGCCGACUCACCUUGGAAAGAGACUGUGACAGAAGGAGAGACAUGAGUGAGAAGACCACACUCCUGAACCCAAAAUGUAAAUUCCAUUCCUGGGAGUGAAGGAGAUUCAGGACAAUCAGGGCAAUCCACCUGGGGGCAUUUCCCCCCUCUAUAGGCAGGUUUUUUUAAGAGCCUUUUCAGUCAUAAGUAACCAUCAGCAUUUUAGAGUUGGAGACAUUUGCGAUUACUAUACUUACCAAUGAAUUCUACAAGGUUCUUCAAACUCCGUCUGAUUUAUCAAACUGUGUGGACAUAGCUAAGAUCCUUGCAACAUUUAUCAAUCAACUGGAAAGCAGUUCGUUUUCUCAUCAUCCCAAA